rnacentral:rRNA from 1 species
CCUACGAGAGGCUGCAGUAGGGAAUUUUGCGCAAUGGGCUAAAGCCUGACGCAGCAACGCCGCGUGAACGAGACGCCCUUCGGGGUGUAAAGUUCUGUCAGUGGGGACGAAAAAUGACGGUACCCACAGAGGAAGCCACGGCUAACUCCGUGCCAGCAGCGACGGUAAUACGGAGGGUGCACGCGUUGUCCGGAAUCAUUGGACGUAAAGAGGUCGUAGGCGGAAUGUAAAGUCAGGUGUUAAAGGCGCAGGCUCAACCGGUGGAUGGCACUUGAUAAUUGCAAGCUGGAGUGCGGUAGAGGUAAAGGGAAUUCCUGGUGUAGCGGUGAAAUGCUUAGAUAUCAGGAGGAACAUCGGUGGCGUAAGCGCUUUACCGGGCCGUAAUUGACGCUGAGGAACGAAAGCCAGGGUAGCAAAUGGGAUUAGAUACCCCUGUAGUC